rnacentral:ncRNA from 12 species
CAUUUGUGAGGAUAGAACGGGCAUCUAUCGUCCUUAGUUUGAAGAUGUAGGGUUGUCAACCUACCAUAAGUG